rnacentral:rRNA from 1 species
GACGAACGCUGGCGGCGUGCUUAACACAUGCAAGUCGAACGGUGAACUCCGCUUGCGGGGGGAUCAGUGGCGAACGGGUGAGUAACACGUGGGCAACCUGCCCUCAGCUCUGGGAUAACUCCAAGAAAUUGGGGCUAAUACCGGAUAUGACCGCUGACCGCAUGGUCUGGUGGUGGAAAGAUUUAUCGGCUGGGGAUGGGCCCGCGGCCUAUCAGCUUGUUGGUGGGGUAGUGGCCUACCAAGGCGACGACGGGUAGCCGGCCUGAGAGGGUGACCGGCCACACUGGGACUGAGACACGGCCCAGACUCCUACGGGAGGCAGCAGUGGGGAAUAUUGCGCAAUGGGCGAAAGCCUGACGCAGCGACGCCGCGUGGGGGAUGACGGCCUUCGGGUUGUAAACCUCUUUCAGCAGGGACUAAGCGAAAGUGACGGUACCUGCAGAAGAAGCACCGGCCAACUACGUG